UACAGGGGGUGCAAACGUUGCUCGGAAUUAUUGGGCGUAAAGCGCGCGGUAGGCGGCUACUUAAGUCGGAUGUGAAAGCCCUUGGCUCAACUGAGGAAGUGCACCCGAAACUGAGUGGCUUGAGUACUAAAGAGGGUCGCGGAAUUCCCGGUGUAGAGGUGAAAUUCGUAGAUAUCGGGAAGGAACACCGGUGGCGAAGGCGGCGACCUGGGUAGAUACUGACGCUGAGGCGCGAAAGCGUGG
rnacentral:rRNA from 1 species